CGCACCUAAAAGCGUUUUCUUGCCAGCCUGUUAAAUGCUCUUGAAAAUCGUAGAUGUGUGCCAGAGCAAAGCUCAGUUGCAAGUGAUUCGGCCUCCCUCGAUGGCAGAUAUCCAUGACGCUGACUACAAGA